rnacentral:rRNA from 1 species
AUGAACGCUGGCGGCGUGCCUAAUACAUGCAAGUCGAGCGCACAGACGAGGAGCUUGCUCCUCUGACGUUAGCGGCGGACGGGUGAGUAACACGUGGAUAACCUACCUAUAAGACUGGGAUAACUUCGGGAAACCGGAGCUAAUACCGGAUAAUAUAUUGAACCGCAUGGUUCAAUAGUGAAAGACGGUUUUGCUGUCACUUAUAGAUGGAUCCGCGCCGCAUUAGCUAGUUGGUAAGGUAACGGCUUACCAAGGCAACGAUGCGUAGCCGACCUGAGAGGGUGAUCGGCCACACUGGAACUGAGACACGGUCCAGACUCCUACGGGAGGCAGCAGUAGGGAAUCUUCCGCAAUGGGCGAAAGCCUGACGGAGCAACGCCGCGUGAGUGGUGAAGGUCUUCGGAUCGUAAAACUCUGUUAUUAGGGAAGAACAAAUGUGUAAGUAACUAUGCACGUCUUGACGGUACCUAAUCAGAAAGCCACGGCUAACUACGUG